rnacentral:misc_RNA from 1 species
UCUCGGCUUAUCACCGGCAGUCCCCUUAGAGUGCCCAACUGAAUGAUGGCAACUAAGGGCGAGGGUUGCGCUCGUUGCGGGACUUAACCCAACAACUCACGACACGAGCUGACGACAGCCAUGCAGCACCUGUGUGCAGGUCCCCGAAGGGCUGCCGUGUUUCCACGACAUUCCCGUGCAUGUCAAGCCUAGGUAAGGUUCUUCGCGUUGCGUCGAAUUAAACCACAUGCUCCGCUGCUUGUGCGGGCCCCCGUCAAUUCCUUUGGGUUUUAGCCUUGCGGCCGUACUCCCCAGGCGGACGACUUAACGCGUUAGCUACGACACCGAAAGGCAGACCCUUCCGACAUCCAGUCGUCAUCGUUUAGGGCGUGGACUAC